rnacentral:rRNA from 1 species
CGAAGGAUCCAAGCGUUAUCCGGAUUUAUUGGGUUUAAAGGGUGCGUAGGCGGGCUAUUAAGUCAGUGGUGAAAGCCCCAAGCUUAACUUGGGAAUUGCCAUUGAUACUGAUGGUCUUGAGUACACUUGAAGUGGGCGGAAUGUGUCAUGUAGCGGUGAAAUGCUUAGAUAUGACGCAGAACACCGAUUGCGAAGGCAGCUCACUAAAUUGUAACUGACGCUGAGGCACGAAAGCGUGGGGAUCAAACAGGAUUAGAUACCCUGGUAGUCCACGCCCUAAACGAUGAUUACUCGAUGUGUGCAAUACACCGUACGCGUCUGAGCGAAAGCAUUAAGUAAUCCACCUGGGGAGUACGACCGCAAGGUUG